rnacentral:rRNA from 1 species
UACGUAGGGGGCAAGCGUUGUCCGGAAUCAUUGGGCGUAAAGCGCGUGUAGGCGGCUAGAUAAGUCUGCUCUGAAAGCCCGGGGCUCAACCCCGGGAGGCGGGUGGAUACUGUCUAGCUCGAGUCCGGAAGAGGAGUGUGGAAUUCCUGGUGUAGCGGUGAAAUGCGCAGAUAUCAGGAGGAACACCAAUGGCGAAGGCAGCACUCUGGGACGUGACUGACGCUGAGACGCGAAAGCUAGGGGAGCAAACAGG